GACGAACGCUGGCGGCGUGCUUAACACAUGCAAGUCGAACGGAAAGGCCCUGCUUUUGUGGGGUGCUCGAGUGGCGAACGGGUGGGUAACACGUGAGUAACCUGCCCUUGACUUUGAGAUAACUUCAGGAAACUGGGGCUAAUACCGGAUAGGAGCUCCUGCUGCAUGGUGGGGGUUGGAAAGUUUCGGCGGUUGGGGAUGGACUCGCGGCUUAUCAGCUUGUUGGUGGGGUAGUGGCUUACCAAGGCUUUGACGGGUAGCCGGCCUGAGAGGGUGACCGGCCACAUUGGGACUGAGAUACGGCCCAGACUCCUACGGGAGGCAGCAGUGGGGAAUAUUGCACAAUGGGCGGAAGCCUGAUGCAGCAACGCCGCGUGCGGGAUGACGGCCUUCGGGUUGUAAACCGCUUUCGCCUGUGACGAAGCGUGAGUGACGGUAAUGGGUAAAGAAGCACCGGCUAACUACGUG
rnacentral:rRNA from 1 species